rnacentral:lncRNA from 1 species
GAGAAGGGGCGGGGCCGAAGCCGGUUGCCAGGGUGUCGCGGAGCGGCUGGGAAGGAGGGGCUGGGAAUCUUGGAGCCCCUUGGCCCGCGGGGAAAGCGGGUGACCCGCCCUGCAAGUGGGAUGCCCCCUUCGGCCUUCUGGAGCGCAGGUGGGGGCGCGCGCCCAUCGGGGGCUCGCACUGCACGGAGGGUCGCGGUGCCGGGGAGCUGAGGUUGGAGGAUGCAGGGCGGCGGCCCUGGUGCACCGUGGGGGAGUUCGCACGCCGGGCAGCGAUCUUCUGCCGGGACCUGGCGUUCUUCACACACGGCUUAUUCGUGACGGAUCCACAGAGCAAUGCACUCUGAAGCCGGAGGGUAGAAAGUGCUGGAAUGCGCGCCCGGGCCCAGGCUGUCGCGAGCCUUCAGCAAGCCAGUGCACACAGAGAGGGCUGCCCAGAGAUCCCGGUCAGCGCUCGCAGUUCGAGGUGGAACAUGUGUGUGCCCUGCGCUAGCCCCAGCUCCCGGAGGUGCCCCCAGCGCGUGUGGAGGGGGGCGGUGAACGGACCCGCAAUCUGGUGGAGGCUGCGGGAAGGAGGCGCAGAGUCCAGGGGUCAGGGUUACCUUCGGGCAGGAGGACAGAUCCCUCUGCUCGGAGGUGAGGAAGACACACGAGGCGAGGUGCACACAGGCGAGGAGAGUGAGAUGGGGGGAGAAUGAGGAGUUCAGGAUACAUCUGUUUACUUCAGUCAGGGAGUGGGGAUGGAGCGGAGUAUUUGUAAAGAUGGACGGUUUAGAAUCGCCGGGAUGAGAACCGGGCAGGGAGCUGAUCAGGGAAGGGCAUGGGGAUCUCUGAGCAGCUGGGAGACCCCAGGGAAGUUUGCAGUGGCGCCUCCCACGCGGCAGCUGGGGGAGUGGAAGAAACCAAUGCUGGCUGGUCUAGAUGGAGGAGUUUGCUGGGUAGCGGUGGUCAAAGACCAGAGAGAAAAGGGAGGCCAAAAUCCUAGAGGGAGUGUUGCCCAAGAAUGGUGGAGUGCAGGGAUUCUGCCCCACUUGCCAGCAGACAGGCCAGGCUGCCAAAGUUGCAUGGGCGCUGGCAGAAAGACCCAAUACCCCUGGAGUCAGAGAGGAAAGACUACAACAGGAAACGGGCGACGCUGGUGUGCCCAGACGCAUGUUGCACCACAGCGGGUGCACUACAAAACAGGACCCUGGAUCCUGUGGACCAAUGUGGUCUUUGUCCCACAGGGAGGCUGUCUCCCCGGCAAGGGUGCCCACUGCAAGCACAGGCGUGAGAAAUGGCCCAGAAAAGAGUGGUCAGGGCAAUGUGUUCUUGGCACGCCCAGCAAGACCUGCCAGAGGGACCUACAGACGAGUGUCUCCCAGCUAUCUUACCAGCGGGGACCUUGAGGUCCAAGUAUCCAGUCCGGUUAGAAAUGGCCGCGGAUCCAACAGGUGCUGGUGAGUGGGAGAAUACCCCUGAGGGAGGAAGAACAGAGGCCGGGAGGGAGCUGAGUGGAUGUAGAUGAGAAAUACCUGGACAGCUGCAAGCUGUAGUCAGUGAUGGGCAACUGGAACCAGAGAUUCCAGAGAGAGGGAGGGAGAAAGAGGGAGGAGAAGGGAGAAUGAGAAAGAGAGGGAGAGAGAAUGGGGGGGAGAAAGAGGGAGAAUGGGGGAGAGAGGUAGGAGCAAGUUCUGGACCACGCCAAGGAUGGAGCUGUGGUCCUGGAACCAGAUGUCCAGGGAAUGGGAUGAAGUGACACUGGCUGGGGCCGAGGCUGCAGACUGCUGGUGGGAGCUGGCAGGACAAUGAGGAUUCUGAACCAGGUGCCUGAGCCUUCUGUGGAUAUGGGGAGUGACUUGGAUGUCUAUAAAUUCCAGAAAUGAUAGGAGGGAUAGAUGAUGGAGGGACUGUAUUUUAGACAAUAAACAAAUUUCACUCAGUAUGGAUGAGUUUCCUGGGGCUUCUGUCACAAUGCAUCACAAACUGGUUUUAAAAACAACAACUGUUUUAAAAACAACAGAAACGUGUUUCCUCAUAGCCCUGGAGGCCAGAAGUGCAAAAUCAAGGAGUGUGCAGGGCCAUGCUCCCUCUGCAGCCCUGAGGGUUGACGCAUGUCUUGCUCUGCCAGGCCUGCUUGGUGUCCUGGGCUUGCUCAUGCACUGCUCCCAUCCCUGCCUCCAUCUUCACACGACCUUCUCCAGGUGGGUCUCUUCUGCAACAUCCCUGUUGGAUUAGGGACCACCCUAGUGACCUCAUCUUUAGUCGAUCAUCAUCAUGUUUGAUCAAAUAAGGUCACUGUGUUUGUUUGUUUUCCCACUGCUAUUAAUAUGAAGAACUUACCUGAAGCUGGGUAAUUUAUAAAGAAAAGAGGUUUCAUUGACUCACAGUUACACAUGACUGGGGAGACCUUAGGAAACUUACAAUCAUGGCGGAAGGCAAAGGGGAAGCAAGGCACGUCUUACAUGGCGGCGGGGGUAGUGGGAUGUGCCACACUUAAACCAUCAGAUCUUGUGAGAACUAUGACAAGAACAGCACGGGGGAAAUCGCCCCCAUGCUCCAAUCACCUCCCACCAGGUCCCUCCCUCGACAUGUGGGGAUUACAAUUCGAGAUGAGAUUUGGGUGGGGACACAGCUAAACCAUAUCAUUCUACCCCGGCCCCUCCUAAAUCUCAUGUCCUUUUUACAUUUCAAAACCAAUCAUGCCCUCCCAACAGUCCCCCAAAGUCUUAUUUCAGCAUUAACUCAAAAGUCCACAGUCCAAA